UAUCCAGCAUUAAAUUUCCAAUUGAAUCAAAGCUUGCUACGGACGAAAAAACAACGUAAGCUAUUAAGAAUUUCACAUUCUAAAUUUCCUAUUGAAAGAGAAAGUGAAUCUUCAAAACAAAUCAACAUACUAAAUAUCACGGUUUAAUUUACCAAAGGAAAAUAAAAGGAAGAA